rnacentral:misc_RNA from 1 species
CUGCGCGCUCCGUAUAGUCCGUCCGUGUGCUGCUGCUGCAUUAUACGCUGCUGCUGUGCGUUGUCAAGUCAGUCGGUGUUUAGCAGCCGUUGCGUCGACUCGUCGUGGUCGUUUGUCGUCGAUGUGUGUGCGCGCGCGCCCGAACGUCACUUGUCGUCGAUAUUUGGUCGUUUAGUUGUUUUUGUUGUUGCUGCUGCAGCUGCUCCUCGUUAUUCUUGACAUUAUUUUUUCCUCGUCCGCGUCCCUUUACGUUUUUACCUAUCUGUAAUUUAACGUUGGCCGCGAGGGACGAGUGUGCUCGGACCGCCGAGGAUCGACGGCUGAGAUUCGAUUCGAUAUAGUUUUGUUGAUUUUUCGCCAAGCUCUCCAGUCUCGACGGCUGCGAUCCCCAGCUGCACAAUGGACCGCGGCAGUAGGUUCAUCGUGCGCAAAAUCGUCAUCGACUUUUUAUGUUUGCUCUGCGUGGGCAUGAUAGUGCUGACGUUUUAUCUAUUCGGCACUCCCUACAAGCGUGGCUUCUUCUGCAAUGACGAAUCGUUGGCCCAUCCGAUGGUCGACUCCACCGUCACCAGUCCCAUGCUCUACGUCAUCGGCCUAUUUCUGCCCAUCUGUACCAUGCUGGCGUUCGAGUAUCAUCACGCCAAGGGCCUGCCGGAGAAGAAGCCACUCGUCGUCUUGGGAAAAAGCAUACCCUACUGGAUGACCAUGGCCUACGAAAAAAUCGGGGUGUUUGGCUUUGGAGCAGCCGUGACGGUGAUGACGACCGACAUAGCCAAGUACACGAUCGGCCGGCUGAGGCCGCAUUUUCUCACUAUAUGCAAUCCCAAAAUCAACUGCAGCUGGCCCGAGAACCAGCACAGGUACAUCACGGACUACGUGUGCGAGGCCGACGGCGUCUCGCCCAAAGUCUUGAAGGAGCUCAGACUGUCCUUCCCGUCGGGCCAUUCGUCCUUCGCGGCCUAUACCAUGAUCUUCUUGGCGCUGUAUCUGCAACUGCGACUGACGUGGCCUGGUAGCAAGCUGUUCAGGCACUUCCUACAGUACAUCUGCAUAAUGAUGGCUUGGUACACGGCCAUGACGAGGGUGUCCAACUACAAGCACCACUGGAGCGAUGUUCUCGCCGGCCUCGGCAUCGGCACUGUCAUCGCCCUCAUUAUGGUAUUCUGCAUCGGCGAUCUGUUCAAGGAGCGACGCCUGCAGUCGGCUUACAAUCGCUCGCAGCUGAUGAUUCAGAGAAGCAGCGACAUGGACAAAUUGCGCGACUACAACGAAGCCACGUCGGCGAUGCAGGUGAACCCGUCGGUGCUGUCCGGCUCGGCGCCGCCCUCCUCCCAGUCGCCCAUCAUGCCCAACAACAACUCCGGCGACAAUGUCGAUACCCAUCAGGUGACUAACGGCAUCAACAAUCGAGUCUGAUGACCAACAGAACUCGCGCUCGGCUUAAUGCAUACCACUGCUGCUGCCGCUGACGCUACUUCUACCACAAUUACCUCGUCGUCGAUCUGCCCAGUGGGAUCUUCAACCUGAAUAUAUUAUAUUUUUUAACGUCGAAUGCCUCGAUAUUAUUUGGGCUUUGUCGAUGCGCAUCCGCUGCCUCCCCCUCUCGUAUAUCCCUUUUUUUAUUACAUGUUGCCUGCCUCUUUGUCGAAUCGACGCCACUGAGGAGCGAAUCUCCAACUUACGGUGGCACCGAUGGGCUCGUUGGUAAUAAGUCACGCAGAUACCGAUAA